CAGAAGAGACUGAGUUUAGUAUCUCUGUCGCCCUGUCGUCGGUGUAAGAACAGACAGGAUUCUGACGACUUAAAGACUAAAGUUAAGUUUGAUGAUGCCCGAAAUUCGUGAACACUUUAGAUUGAUGACCGAUGAAUUGUGGCCGUGAAAUGACUCAAGAUAACUCGCUUUUGAAGAGAAAGCAUGUCUAAGCUUUUUCUCAGAGCUUACUGGUGAAAUAAAAAAGGUAGAGUUUUUGAGCUGGAGUCAAACUAAAAGAAAUGCUGUGGCCUGUGGGCAAGAAAUUCACCAUUGAUAUAACGGCUGAAAUUUGCCCGAGAUGACUCGCGUUUCAAGAGGCAGCAAGUCCAAAGCUGCUCGUCUACAAACGUUGCUAAAAUGAACAGGUAUUGAGAUUGAGCGAGUCAAACUAUCAAAGCCAUUUGAAACGACGAUCAACCUGUUCAAAUUAAAAU